rnacentral:tRNA from 1 species
GUCGAUAUUAAAAUCUUCAUCAGUUCAAAUCUGAUUCAAUUCAU